rnacentral:lncRNA from 1 species
CUUUAACCUCUUUUGAAAGCUCACAGUGUGGCUUGAGUUCUAUACAAGGAUCUACCUUUGAAAAGACCUAAGGAAGCAUAUUGUUUUGGAUUCAUAGCAAACCCCACUAGAGAGGUAAAUUUGUAUAUUAAUGUCCUAAUAAAUUUUUUAGCACAUAUUUUAUGAGAAAGGUGAAAUAUUAUAAUAUUUUUGACAGUUAAUCAAUAAGGUAGGCAUUUACUUUUACUACUUUCCGGGUUAUUAGGCUGUUGAGUGAAAGCAAUAUAGCUAGUUAAAGGAGGUAUCCAUUUAAUAAAAGGCAUGUGGAAUGCUAAU